ACCGGUCUCUCCUAAAAAUACAAAAAUUAGUCGGGGGUGGUGGUGGGCGCCUGUAAUCCCAGCUACUCGGGAGGCUGAGGCAGGAGAAUCGCUUGAACCCGGGAGGCAGAGGUUGCAGUGAGCCGAGAUCGUACCACCGCACUCCAGCCUGGGCAACAAGAGCGAAACAAAAAAAAAAAAAAAAGAAAAGAAAAGACACACAACAGGUUUUUAAUGUUUUUAUUAUGAGAGCACUUGAUAGUUUGUUUAGUAGUCUUACUCUACUAGUCAGGGGAGCCAGGUGGCUCACUCUAAUAGAAAAAUAAAGUUUUCUCCUAAUUUAUUGUCUAUUCCCACUUGCAUUGCUGCCUUUUACUGCUAAUUUACUUCCUCAGGAGAAGUAGGGUAUUUAUCUUCAUAUAUUUGUAGACAUGCACAAGAUACCUGAAGUCCAACAUUUGUCUCAGAAUUGUAUAAUUUAAACUUGUUGAAUGUCAUCUGAGAUGGAAAUAAAUCAUCUUAUAGGCCAUAUUAAUCAUCUGAUUUAUAAACUCCAGAGGUUUUAGCAUCAUAUUUAUUAUAUUUCAUUACUAUCAUAGUUUGCCAAUAAUAUGCUUGUUCUCUCAGAGAAAAAAAAUCAAAACUUUUAAUAAUUUGUAUUGAUCAGACUAGGAAUUCAAUUGUAGGGUAAAAUCAAUGUUAAAAUGUGAAGAUAAAAUAAUGUAACUAUGUAUAGGCUUAUUUUAAUAAAUGAGAAAAAACUGUAAAGUUGCUAUCUAAAACUUUGAGGAAAUGUGAACUACAAAUACCUAGAAUAUUUAAUACAAAAGCUACCCUCUGUUCCCAUGACUGUGGAACUCUUAGCACAGGGCAUACAGAUAACAACAGUCUUUUAAAAGCCUAAAUGAACAGUCUUCCUUCCUUUAAGGUAAUUUCCUGCGUCUUAUCUGUCACAUAUAGAACAAUGUACUUUCAUAAUCAAACCCUGCUACUCUGGGUCUACUUGUGGUUUCUUACAGUUCCACGGAUUCUGAAGCAUCCUUACUUUACCCUCACACAAAACUUCACCCCUAAGAGAUGUGUUCUCAACAUUUCCAGGGGUGUGAAGUUUUUUUUGUUGUUGUUGUUAACUACCAUUUUGUUAACAUUCUAUUUCACUUACUAUAAUCAGAAGGAUUUCUUUAAUUAUUUUUGGACUUACCGAACUCAAUCUGCUUGGCCCUGGACAAAAAGUGGCUCACAGGCCAUAUUACACAGACACAGAGGUGCAUUUAAUCCAGUGUGCUACUGACACCUCACAUUCAGAGCAGAGGGCCAUGACCCUGCCACCCGCCAUCUCACUCUUUUUUUUCCCUUUCCUGAUCCCUCCUACUUUCUGAACGAUUAGUCACCUUGCUCCCCAGAAUUGCUUCAUUCCUGGGAUUCCUUUUUGUCAAAGGAAGAAUUUAUGCAGAAUUUGAACAAUGUCUAACUUUUUUUUAACAGUAGCGCCUAGUAACUACCUUUCUUUUGCUACCCUGAGCCAAUUUUCAAUUCUCUCUCCAGAAUUCACUUUUUUUUUUUUUUUUGAGAUGGAGUCUCACUCCAUCGCCCAGGCUGGAGGCAGUGGCAUGAUCUUGGCUCACUGAAACCUCUGACUCCCAGGUUCAAGCAAUUCUCCUGCCUCAGGCUCCCUAGUAGCUGGGAUUACAGGUAUGCACCACCACACCUGGCUAAUUUGUUUUUUAUUUUUAGUAGACACAGGGUUUCACCAUGUUGGCCAGGCUGAUCUCAAACUCCUGACCUCAGGUAAUCCACCCGUCUCGGCCUCCUAAAAUGGUGAGACUACAGGCAUGAGUCACUGCGCCCAGCCCAGAAUUCACUUUGAUCACAGAUAUUGAAAAGCAGCUUCACCAAGGAAAUCACCUAAGAUAAUAGUGUGCCUCAAGUUUUGUGGUGGAUUUCCAAAGAGGUUGUAAAUAUAAUUGCAUUAGGAGAUUGUUCACUGUCCUUUAUAAGUAGUAAAUACAAUUUAAAACACAAUUUUCUCUCCACUCAGAUACCUGGGGUGGGGGCGGG
rnacentral:lncRNA from 1 species